AGGGAAGAUAAUGACGGUACCAAUAGAAUAAGCCCCGGCUAACUUCGUGCCAGCAGCCGCGGUAAUACGAAGGGGGCAAGCGUUGUUCGGAAUUACUGGGCGUAAAGGGUGCGUAGGCGGUUUGUCAAGUCUGGUGUGAAAUCUCGGGGCUCAACUCGGAAACUGCAUUUGAAACUGACGGGCUUGAGUAUGGGAGAGGUGAGUGGAAUUUCCGGUGUAGCGGUGAAAUGCGUAGAUAUCCGAAGGAACACCUGUGGCGAAAGCGGCUCACUGGACCAUUACUGACGCUGAGGCACGAAAGCUUGGGGAGCAAACAGGAUUAGAUACCCUGGUAGUCCACGCCCUAAACGAUGAUUGCUUG
rnacentral:rRNA from 1 species